UACAGAGGUCUCAAGCGUUGUUCGGAUUCAUUGGGCGUAAAGGGUGCGUAGGCGGCGGGGUAAGUCGGAUGUGAAAUCUCAGGGCUCAACCCUGAAACUGCAUUCGAUACUGCCUUGCUCGAGGACUCGAGAGGAGAUUGGAAUUCACGGUGUAGCAGUGAAAUGCGUAGAUAUCGUGAGGAAGACCAGUGGCGAAGGCGGAUCUCUGGAGAGUUCCUGACGCUGAGGCACGAAGGCCAGGGGAGCAAACGGG
rnacentral:rRNA from 1 species